UACGGAGGGUGCAAGCGUUAUCCGGAUUCACUGGGUUUAAAGGGUGCGUAGGUGGGUAUGUAAGUCAGUGGUGAAAUCCCCGAGCUUAACUUGGGAACUGCCGUUGAUACUAUAUAUCUUGAAUAUUGCGUAGGUAAGCGGAAUAUGUCAUGUAGCGGUGAAAUGCUUAGAUAUGACAUAGAACACCAAUUGCGAAGGCAGCUUACUUCACGAUUAUUGACACUGAGGCACGAAAGCGUGGGGAGCAAACAGG
rnacentral:rRNA from 1 species